rnacentral:rRNA from 1 species
UAAGGAAUAUUGCUCAAUGGGAGAAAUCCUGAAGCAGCAACGCCGCGUGGAGGAUGAAGGGUCUAUGACUUGUAAACUCCUGUAAAGAAGGAAAAAAUUCCCAUUUGAUGGGAGAUGAUGGUACUUCUGGAGUAAGCCCCGGCUAACUACGUGCCAGCAGCCGCGGUAAUACGUAGGGGGCAAGCGUUGUCCGGAUUUACUGGGUGUAAAGGGUGCUCAGGCGGAUUUGUAAGUCAGAGGUGAAAUCUUACAGCUUAACUGUGUAACUGCCUUUGAUACUGCAAGCCUAGAGUAUGGAAGAGAGUGAUGGAAUAUCUGGUGUAGCAGUGAAAUGCGUAGAUAUCAGAUAGAACACCAAUGGCGAAGGCAGUCACUUGGUCCAUUACUGACGCUAAAGCACGAAAGCGUGGGUAGCAAAC